GAACCCGUGCCGCCGCCGUUGUCCCCCACCAGGGACCCGCGCCGACGAGGGGCUUCAGCAUCCCUGAAGCCAACCCCUGCACGCGCCCCUCCACCAACCCAGAGCGCUGCCGCCCGAUGCAGGUCGCCGCCGAGCGCAGCCACAUAUGGAUCCGGCCGAAGCCGGCCAGACCCGUCUCCACCUCGCCGUCUGCGCCGCCCCGCACAGCGCAUCGCCGGGCCCCAACAGCAACCAGGGCCGUCCCCCCACCAGCAUCCCGUGCCGCCGCCACUUGCAUCCAUGGUGGGCUGCUGGAUGUCGUCUCCUCCUCUGCGUUGAGCCUGCUGGAGCCCCUCAUCCUCAACAGGAUGUCGACCACCUAGGGCCAAAGGAAGCAAGCCGUCGUCGCUCUCCGAUGCUCCGGUGAGGUACUCCAAAUUAUCUCUCAUGCUCUAGUGUGUCCACCCUCCUCUCCCUACCGUAGCCUCGAACUUCCCCUCUUCGCAGAAGAAGUUGCGUAAUGUGGCGCUGAGCUGUUGAUUCUCUAGGUUGUACUAGUCCAGAAUUUUUUUGGACAGAAGUUCAAGUGGUUGUUACUGCUGCAAUUUAGAGAUAUUGGUGUUGAUGAUUAUGUAAACAUUUUAAUAGAAGUUCAAAGUUCGAUUUAGAAAGGAGAAAAGAGCUCGAGUUUAAGAAGAAAACUAAAAAAGUCAUUGUCACAUGGGCGACCAUGAAGGUCUGAUGUUGAGAAGGUCAGGUGCAUGAUGCAUCUCCGGCCAUCCCUUUCCCACCUUUGCCUUGGACGAAAGGACGAACUUCUCUCCACCCUAAUGGUGACCUUCUUCCUUCUGCUGCUACCUCCUACAUCGUGUGCGUGUCAGUGAAGCAGAGAUGGCGGCGGACUCCAAUCCCACAACACACUUGACGACCUGCCUGAGGCCUAAGCGGCGACCUGCCAAAGGCCUAAGCUGUGACCUUCAUGCAUCUUCUCCGAGUUGUUUUUUAUGGCCGCCCAUGCAUGCAUCAAUGCUGGUCAUGGGAUUUUGUGAGAUAUGCUCCUUGCAGGAAGAAGCAUUGAAAAAACUGUGACGAUCUCAGGAGCCCUGCCACAACAGGAACCUGUCUCUCGCUACCUCUGUUUCGGAUACUGAUGGACACCAAUAGUGUGAAUUGCUGUAGAGAACAAGUUUUUCUUCAGGUUAUGAAGUUCCUCAUUGACACGGCGAAGUCGCUCACAACGCUGGUGCUGUAGUGCAUGACCAAGCACCACGAGGCGCCUGACAUGUCUUUGGUCACCACCAAGGUCUACAAGCUCUUCUUGGAGGUGUAGAACUCCGCCGACAAUGUUCCGCAUCCCCGCCAACAUCUCCAUCUCCAUGGCCCAGGCUGCAACACCUACCAGGAAGCUUCAGCGCCCUGCUGCUAGCACAUGAAGCGCUCGUGCAUUGAAUUGUUUUGGUCGGAGUUCAGAUAACUGAAUCAGAGAGGUUGCUCUAGAACUGGAGUAGUAUACUUCAAAGUUCAGAUAACUGAAUGCUACUUCAGAUUUCAGCUGACUGAAUGCUCGGCCACUGGAAGCUGAAGGCUAGAAGCUGUAAAAGGAUAUUCAGAAGUUCGAAGAAGACUUUCAGAAAAGUUCAAAAUCAAGAAAGAGCAUUAGAAAAGCAAUUAUUAAAAUAAAAAUUAGUGCAUUGGUCCGUGCGUCCUGGGUGUGGUGUCUCGUUUGUGUGUGCAUGCACACCUUGUGGGUGCUCGUGUGUGUGUGUGUGUGUGUGUGUGUGUGUGUGGGCGCUAUGGUGUGUGUUGUGUGCGUGCUCCGGCGUGUACUCCUGUUUGUGUGUGUGGUUCAAUUAAAAACAUACUGAUGUAAUGGCAAAAG